rnacentral:rRNA from 1 species
UACGAAGGGUGCAAGCGUUACUCGGAAUUACUGGGCGUAAAGCGUGCGUAGGUGGUUCGUUAAGUCUGUCGUGAAAGCCCCGGGCUUAACCUGGGAAUGGCAUUGGAAACUGGCUCGCUGGAGUGUGGCAGAGGGGGGUGGAAUUCCGCGUGUAGCAGUGAAAUGCGUAGAGAUGCGGAGGAACACCGAUGGCGAAGGCAGCCCCCUGGGCUAACACUGACGCUCAGGCACGAAAGCGUGGGGAGCAAACAGG